UACAGGGGGGGCAAGCGUUGUUCGGAAUUACUGGGCGUAAAGGGUUCGUAGGUGGCCAACUAAGUCAGACGUGAAAUCCCUCAGCUUAACUGGGGAACUGCGUCUGAUACUGGAUGGCUUGAGUGCAGGAGAGGAAUGCGGAAUUCCAGGUGUAGCGGUGAAAUGCGUAGAUAUCUGGAGGAACACCGGUGGCGAAGGCGGCAGUCUGGACUGUAACUGACACUGAGGAACGAAAGCCAGGGGAGCAAACGGG
rnacentral:rRNA from 1 species